UACGUAGGAUGCAAGCGUUAUCCGGAAUCGAUUAGGGCGUAAAGCGUCCGCAGGUGGAACAGUAAGUUGAGCGAUAAAUACCAGUGCCUAACAUUGGUGCCUCGUUCAAAACUGCUGAUCUAGAGGAUGGGAGGGGCAGACGGAAUUCCCGGUGUAGGGGUAAAAUCCGUAGAUAUCGGGAAGAACACCAAAGCGAAGGCAGUCUGCUGGAACA
rnacentral:rRNA from 1 species